AGGAGCAUCAACUGAGGUCGCCUUGUCUUGUCUGAUCUCCUUGUGUGAAGCUGAGUAACAGGUAACAGUGUACCUGUUACUAAAAAGGCUAAAAUUUGGUCAGAAAGGAGCUGAUUCAGUAAUAAAUCUGAAAAGAGGGAAGCAUCAAGAUGGAGACUGACACACAUCCAGUGACAGUGAAGACGGAGAGUGAUGAAAACUCGAAG